GUUCGAUUAUGGCUCAGAUUGAACGCUGGCGGGAUGCGCUUUACACAUACAAGUCGAACGGCAGCACGGACUUCGGUCUGGUGGCGAGUGGCGAACGGGUGAGUAAUGUAUCGGAACGUGCCUAGUAGCGGGGGAUAACUACGCCGAAAGCGUAACUAAUACCACAUACGCCCUUCGGGGAAAAGCAGGGGACCUUCGGGCCUCGCGCUAUUAGAGCGGCCGAUAUCCAGUUAGCUAGUUGGUGGGAGUAACGGCUCGCAAGGCGACGAUCCGUAGCUGGUUUGAGAGGACGACCAGCCACUGGGACUGAGACACGGCCCAGACUCCUACAGGGAGGCAGCGGUGAAAUUUUGGACAAUGGAAACCCUGAUCCAGCCAUCCCGCGUGUGCGAUGAAGGCCUUCGGGUUGUAAAGCACUUUUGGCAGAAAAAACGGCACGGAUAAUACGUGCAACUGACAGUACCUGCAGAAUAAGCACCGGCUAACUACGUGCCGGCAGCCGCGGUAUUGUGCGGCGAGGUUGGCGUUAAUCGGAAUUACUGGGCGUAAAGCGUGCGCAGGCGGUUCGGAAGAAAGAUGUGAAAUCCCAGAAGCAACUUUGGAACUGCAUUUUAACUACCGAGCUAGAGUGUCAGAGGGAGGUGGAAUUCCGCUGUAGCAGUGAAAUGCGUAGAUAUGCGGAGGAACACCGAUGGCGAAGGCAGCCUCCUGGGAUAUUACCGCUGACGCUCAUGCACGAAAGCGUGGGGAGCAAACAGGAUUAGAUACCCUGGUAGUCCACGCCUAAACGAUGUCAACUAGCUAUUUGGGGCCUUCGGGCCUUGGUAGCGCAGCUAACGCGUGAAGUUGACCGCCUGGGGAGUACGGUCGCAAGAUUAAAACUCAAAGGAAUUGACGGGGACCCGCACAAGCGGUGGAUGAUGUGGAUUAAUUCGAUGCAACGCGAAAAACCUUACCUACCCUUGACAUGUCUGGAAUCCCGAAGAGAUUUGGGGAGUGCUCGCAGAAGAGAACCGGAACACAGGUGCUGCAUGGCUGUCGUCAGCUCGUGUCGAGAUGUUGGGUUAAGUCCCGCAACGAGCGCAACCCUUGUCAUUAGUUGCUACGAAGGGCACUCUAAUGAGACUGCCGGUGACAAACCGGAGGAAGGUCGAGGAGAUGGCGUCAAGUCCUCAUGGCCCUUAUGGGUGAGGCUUCACACGUCAUACAAUGGUCGGGACAGAGGGUCUUCCUUCUUCCCGCGAGGGGGAGCCAAUCCCAGAAACCCGAUCGUAGUCCGGAUCACGGUCCUUCGACUGCAUUGAAGUCGGAAUCGCUAGUAAUCAUGUGGAUCAGCAUGUCGCGGUGGUCACGUUCCCGGGUCUUGUACCGUCACACCAUGGGAAUUGGGUUUUACCAGAAGUAGUUAGCCUAACCAUCAAGAGGCGAUUACCACGGUAGGAUUCAUGACUGGGGGUGAAGUCGUAACAAGGUAA
rnacentral:rRNA from 1 species